AUGACCGGUGUCGGAAUGAAGCAUUUGUCAGACAACCGGAACAUCGCCGACGCUGCAAUGGAGCAUCACCGGCGCUGCGAUGGAGGGUCGUCGGGCUGUCGGGGUAUCGCCGGUGCCGUGAUGGAGCAUUCGUCGGACCGUCGAAACAUCGACGGUGUUGCAUGGGAGCAUCAACGGUGCUACGAUGAAGCAUCAUCGGACCGUCCAAACAUCAUCCGUGCUGUGAUGGAGCAUUCGUCGGACCGUCGAAACAUCGAUGGCGUUGAAUGGAAGCAUCACCGGUGCUACGAUAAAGCAUCGUCGGACCGUCCAAACAUCGUCGGUGCUGCAAUGGAGCAUCGCCGAGCCGUCGGAGCAUCACCGACGCUGCAAUGGAGCAUAGCUGGGUGGCGAAGUAUGGCCGGUGCAGCAAUGGAGCAUCAAUGGUGCUUGAAAGGGUGA
rnacentral:rRNA from 1 species